rnacentral:rRNA from 1 species
CCUACGGGAGGCAGCAGUGGGGAAUUUUGGACAAUGGGCGAAAGCCUGAUCCAGCGACGCCGCGUGGAGGACGAAGGUCUUCGGAUUGUAAACUCCUUUUGCAGGGGACGAAAAAAAUGACGGUACUCUGCGAAUAAGCCACGGCUAACUACGUGCCAGCAGCCGCGGUAAUACGUAGGUGGCAAGCGUUAUCCGGAAUCACUGGGCGUAAAGGGCGUCUAGGCGGACGGGUAAGUCGUGCGUGAAAGCUUCCGGCUCAACCGGGAGAGGUCGUACGAUACUGCCUGUCUUGAGGGUCGGAGAGGGACGUGGAAUUCCCGGUGUAGCGGUGAAAUGCGUAGAGAUCGGGAGGAACACCAGUGGCGAAGGCGGCGUCCUGGCCGACACCUGACGCUGAAGCGCGAAAGCGUGGGGAGCGAACGGGAUUAGAUACCCGAGUAGU